CAGCAAAGGCGGACGUAUUCCAAAUCUGUUUAAAAAACGAUCAGAACCCGCUGGAUACCCGUCAAUCCUGAUUAAUACUUGGAAUGUUGGCGCGGCAAUCCCCCCAAGUGUUGCGCCGAUAAAGGUGAUCAAGGAGUGUUCGCCUUUGUUUAACUCCUAAUGGUCUUAACCCGGAUUCCCCCCCAGAGCCCGG
rnacentral:sRNA from 10 species